AGUGAACGCUGGCGGUAGGCCUAACACAUGCAAGUCGAACGGCAGCACAGGAGAGCUUGCUCUCUGGGUGGCGAGUGGCGGACGGGUGAGGAAUACAUCGGAAUCUACUUUUUCGUGGGGGAUAACGUAGGGAAACUUACGCUAAUACCGCAUACGACCUACGGGUGAAAGCAGGGGACCUUCGGGCCUUGCGCGAUUGAAUGAGCCGAUGUCGGAUUAGCUAGUUGGCGGGGUAAAGGCCCACCAAGGCGACGAUCCGUAGCUGGUCUGAGAGGAUGAUCAGCCACACUGGAACGGGGACACGGUCCAGACUCCUACGGGAGGCAGCAGUGGGGAAUAUUGGACAAUGGGCGCAAGCCUGAUCCAGCCAUACCGCGUGGGUGAAGAAGGCCUUCGGGUUGUAAAGCCCUUUUGUUGGGAAAGAAAUCCAGCUGGCUAAUACCCGGUUGGGAUGACGGUACCCAAAGAAUAAGCACCGGCUAACUUCGUGCCAGCCGCCGCAGUAA
rnacentral:rRNA from 1 species